AGAGUUUGAUCCUGGCUCAGAACGAACGUUGGCGGCGUGGAUUGGGCAUGCAAGUCGAACGAAUCCCUUGGGGCUUGCUCCAAGGGGGAAGUGGCGAAAGGGGCAGUAAGGCAUGGGUAACCUACCCUGGGGACGAGGAUAGCCUUCCUAACGGAAGGGUAAUACUUGGCGAUCUGGCGACGAGGCAUCUCGUUGCCAGGAAAUGAAUUUCGCCUCGGGAGGGGCUCAUGUAGUAUUAGCUGGUUGGUGGGGUAACGGCCUACCAAGGCGAAGAUGCUUAGCGGGUGUGAGAGCACGACCCGCGCCACUGGCACUGAGACACUGGCCAGACUCCUACGGGAGGCUGCAGUCGAGGAUCUUCGGCAAUGGGCGCAAGCCUGACCGAGCGACGCCGCGUGUGCGAUGAAGGCCUUCGGGUUGUAAA
rnacentral:rRNA from 1 species